rnacentral:rRNA from 1 species
UACGGAGGGUGCAAGCGUUAUCCGGAUUCACUGGGUUUAAAGGGCGCGUAGGCGGCCUGCUAAGUCGGACGUGAAAUCCCUCGGCUCAACCGGGGAACUGCGUCCGAUACUGGUGGGCUCGAAUCCGGGAGAGGGAUGUGGAAUUCCAGGUGUAGCGGUGAAAUGCGUAGAUAUCUGGAGGAACACCGGUGGCGAAGGCGGCAUCCUGGACCGGUAUUGACGCUGAUGCGCGAAAGCCAGGGGAGCAAACGGG